UUUCAAUAUAAUGUGUUUUACGGGUGAUAGCUCAAUGGGAUACUCCUGACCUGAAACUUCUCUCUUGCUGAGGCAUCUGCCAUUGAGAUAUCCCACUGAGAGAUGAGCUAUCAGACUGGCUUCCAAAGCAAAGGUUAACUGUACAGCUGUGCUGUCCCCUCACUUGUUCUAGGUACAGCAAAGGUCACACCUCUGCAGUCCCACAGACUUUCUUCCCUUAAACAGUUUUGCAUCUGAAAUAAGAUUUUAUUUUAAAUUUCCACAAAGCAAUAAUUGUUUCCUCUUUUUAAAAAAAUUUGUAGGGUGGCUGCAUUUGUCCUGAUGGAAGCAGCGGUCAUAGACAGGGAUCCCCAGGUUCUUCAUACAGCACAUAUUCUGGUAACCAGGUAAACAUUCAGAUAAAAUGCCCUAUUCAGCAGCUCCAUCUAAAACCUCCCCUGAAGGAGUAGCCAGAUAUCAACCAGUAACCCAUUCUGUCUUCUGCACAGGGAGGGCCUUUCAUCUAUCCUGGAGGAUCCUAUGGACAGGGUGGCCCAGGUUCUUCCCACAGUUCUUACUCUGGUAACCAGGUAAAUAUUCGGGUCACUGUGCCUGCACAGGAGCAGCCUAGAAGUGUUCUUUGAGAGAACAUUCAACUACAAAAGAGUAAAUUUCUAUGUUUUCUCUGCAGGGAGGGCCUUCCUUCUAUCCUGGUGGAUCUUAUGGACAGGUAGGUGUUUUUUCUUGUUUGUAGAGAAAACAGACUUCUUUUAUUUCACACCUAUUCUGUCGUUAAAAGAUGGAAAACACUUUUUUUGGGAGAAUCAAAUUAAUCAGCUUUUUUUUUAUUUUCUGUGCAGGGAGGGUCUUCUGCUUAUGAUGGCAGCAGUGAAUCCUAUGGUCAGGUAAAUACUCUUUUUUUACUCUUUGUGUAAAUGUUGCAGAGGGCCAAUACCCUGGGUGAAGUAAAUAUAGAGUUAUAUCUGUAUUUUCUCUCUCACUAUAUUCUAAUGAAAGUGAUCUUUUCUUUGAGGAAUGAGUAAAUUUGUAUAUACUUUUAACUAGGUAGCCUGAAAGUUUAUGGGGAAGUACAAGGUAGGGUGCCUCCAACUUUUAAGGCUUAUUCUCAACAAUGC
rnacentral:lncRNA from 1 species